AUUGAACGCUGGCGGCAUGCCUUACACAUGCAAGUCGAACGGUAGCACGGGAGCAAUCCUGGUGGCGAGUGGCGAACGGGUGAGUAAAGUAUCGGAACGUGCCCAGUCGUGGGGGAUAACGUAGCGAAAGUUACGCUAAUACCGCAUACGAUCUAUGGAUGAAAGCGGGGGAUCGCAAGACCUCGCGCGAUUGGAGCGGCCGAUAUCAGAUUAGGUAGUUGGUGGGGUAAAGGCUCACCAAGCCGACGAUCUGUAGCUGGUCUGAGAGGACGACCAGCCACACCGGGACUGAGACACGGCCCAGACUCCUGCGGGAGGCAGCAGUGGGGAAUUUUGGACAAUGGGCGAAAGCCUGAUCCAGCCAUGCCGCAUGCAGGAUGAAGGCCUUCGGGUUGUAAGCUGCUUUUGUACGGAACGAAAAGGUUUGGGCUAAUAAGCUGAGCUCAUGACGGUACCGUAAGAAUAAGCACCGGCUAACUACGUGCCAGCCGCCGCCGUAA
rnacentral:rRNA from 1 species